GACGAACGCUGGCGGCGUGCUUAACACAUGCCAGUCGAACGGAAAGGCCCUGCUUUUGUGGGGUGCUCGAGUGGCGAACGGGUGAGUAACACGUGAGUAACCUGCCCUUGACUUUGGGAUAACUUCAGGAAACUGGGGCUAAUACCGGAUAGGAGCUCCUGCUGCAUGGUGGGGGUUGGAAAGUUUCGGCGGUUGGGGAUGGACUCGCGGCUUAUCAGCUUGUUGGUGGGGUAGUGGCUUACCAAGGCUUUGACGGGUAGCCGGCUUGAGAGGGUGACCGGCCACAUUGGGACUGAGAUACGGCCCAGACUCCUACGGGAGGCAGCAGUGGGGAAUAUUGCACAAUGGGCGGAAGCCUGAUGCAGCAACGCCGCGUGCGGGAUGACGGCCUUCGGGUUGUAAACCGCUUUCGCCUGUGACGAAGCGUGAGUGACGGUAAUGGGUAAAGAAGCACCGGCUAACUACGUG
rnacentral:rRNA from 1 species